CACGUAGGGUGCGAGCGUUGUCCGGAAUUAUUGGGCGUAAAGAGCUCGUAGGCGGUGUGUCGCGUCGGCCGUGAAAACUUGCAGCUUAACUGUGGGCGUGCGGUCGAUACGGGCAUCACUGGAGUUCGGCAGGGGAGACUGGAAUUUACGGUGUAGCGGUGAAAUGCGUAGAUAUCGUAAGGAAGACCAGUGGCGAAGGCGGGUCUCUGGACAGUUCCUGACGCUGAGGCACGAAGGCCAGGGGAGCAAACGGG
rnacentral:rRNA from 1 species